rnacentral:tRNA from 1 species
GCCCGGGUGGCGAAACUGGUAGACGCAGCGGACUUAAAAUCCGCAGGCGGGGCAACCCGCCGUGCCGGUUCAAGUCCGGCUCCGGGCA